GGUAUAUUUCCUGUCAGCACACGCGGGUAAUAUCGUAGAGUGGCAAGAGCUUAUAAUGGAAUUUUCUGGGCUGUAGCGCGCAUACGGCGGGGUUUUUUAGUGUCGAUAUGAAAACCCCCGGCUCUACACCCUGGAGGAGUCGCUUGUAAACUGGACAGCUUAGAGCAGAAGAGGGGAAGGGGAAUUCCCCAGUGUAGCGCUGAAAAGCGCAGAGAUAUGGAGGGCAUCAGUGGCGAAGGCGCGUCUUCUGGUCUGUGAUUGUCACUGAUGUGUGAGAGCGUGGGGAUCACAACACAGAUUAGAUAUCCCGUGUAGUGCACACGCGUAUAACGAUGAGUGCUAAGUGAGAUGGGGGUCUCCGAGCCGUGAGCUUUCGCAGCUAACGCAUUAAGUACUCCGCCUGGGGAGUACGAGUCGCAAGAUUGAAACUCAAAUGAAUUGACGGGGACCCGCACAAGCGGUGGAGCAUGUGGUUUAAUUCGAAGCAACGCGAAGAACCUUACCAAAUCUUGACAUCCAGAGACCCUUCCAGAGAUAGAAGUUUCCCCUUGGGGGGUCAAAGACACAGGUGGCACAUGGUUGUUCACAUCUCGUGUCGAAAGAUUGGGGUAAAUGUCCCACCGAGAGCGCCCCCCUUCCUUUUUGUCCCCAUCAUUAAGUCGGGCACUCCAAGGAGACUGCCGGUGACAAACCGGAGGAAGGUGGGGAUGACGUCAAAUCAUCAUGCCCCUUAUGAGUAGGGCUACACACGUGCUACAAUGGCCCAUACAAAGGGCAGCCAAACCGCGAGAUCAAGCAAAUCCCAAAAAGUUGUUCUCAGUUCGGAUCGUAGUCUGCAACUCGACUCCAUGAAGUCGGAAUCGCUAGUAAUCGUGGAUCAGCAUGCCACGGUGAAUACGUUCCCGGGUCCUGUACCCCCCCCCGUCCCCCCCGAGAGUUGUCUCUACAGUAUGCUAGGUGGCUUAGCCAGUCGUAGCAAGGUAGCCGUAGAGUACUCCCC
rnacentral:rRNA from 1 species